rnacentral:rRNA from 1 species
UACAGAGGUCCCAAGCGUUGUUCGGAUUCAUUGGGCGUAAAGGGUGCGUAGGCGGCGCGGUAAGUCGGGUGUGAAAUCUCGGGGCUUAACUCCGAAACUGCAUUCGAUACUGCCGUGCUUGAGGACUGGAGAGGAGACUGGAAUUUACGGUGUAGCGGUGAAAUGCGUAGAUAUCGUGAAGGAAGACCAGUGGCGAAGGCGGGUCUCUGGACAGUUCCUGACGCUGAGGCACGAAGGCCAGGGGAGCAAACGGG